rnacentral:rRNA from 1 species
GUGUCAGCAGCCGCGGUAAUACGGAGGUUGCGAGCGUUGUUCGGAAUGACUGGGCGUAAAGGGAGCGCAGGCGGCUCGUUAGGUCCGGAGUGAAAGCCCGGGGCUCAACCCCGGCGGGUCUUCGGAUACCGGCGAGCUCGAGUACGGAAGAGGAGGGUGGAAUUCCAGGUGUAGCGGUGAAAUGCGUAGAUAUCUGGAGGAACACCGGUGGCGAAAGCGGCCCUCUGGUCCGAUACUGACGCUGAGGCUCGAAAGCGUGGGGAGCAAACGGGAUUAGAUACCCCGGUAGUCCACGCCGUAAACGUUGUGCGCUAGGUGUGGGAGGUAUCGACCCCUCCCGUGCCGCAGCUAACGCAAUAAGCGCACCGCCUGGGGAGUACGGGCGCAAGCCUGAA